GCCGCUCCCGCCUCCUCCGCCUGCGCCUCCCUCGCCGUGCCGGGGCCGCCGCUGCCGCUGCCUGGCCGCCGCCGCUCUGCGCUGCUCCCUUCUGACGUCACCCGCGGCCCGCGCCGACAUUCUUUCCGCUGCUACAAUGUAACGAGAAAAGUCAGCGGGCGCUUAAGGUGGCGCCGCGCUUAAGGUGGCGCCGCGCCGCUGUCAGCCCCGCGCCCACCCGCUCCUUCCCCGCCGGCUCCGCCUUUCCUCUCGGGAGCCUGCGAGCCCGGGGGCGGCUUCGACUCACCUCUGCGGCGGCCCGGGGGGCAGGAGCCGAGUGCCCAUUAUGUAUGGGAGCGCUCCCUCCUCUUCACCGCCCAGCACGACCCGCGACCCUACAAAAACAACGGCCGCAUCACAACCCCGCCCGGCCUCCCUCCCGCUGCCGUCCCGGGCCGAGGGGCGGGCACGGGGCUGGGCCGGGCUCCCCCGCCCCGCCCCGCCGGGCCUCCUUAAAGCCCGCCGGCGAGCGGCGGGGCAGCGGCGAACGGCGAGCAGGAAACGCGCCCCCGCCCCGGGACCUGCGCUGUGCUGGGGGCGACCCCGCGCCGGGGCAGCGCUUCGGAGGCGGAGGGCCGCGGGUGGCGGUCAGCGGCUCCGGCACGGGACCGGGCAGCGGCUCCCGCGCGGCCGUUACGGGCGCUGCCGGCGCGGGCCGUUUGAACGCGAUUUCCCCUUCCUUGCCCCGGUUUGGUUUUCUGCGCUAACUUCCGCACCAAAGCGCUGAUGUUCCGGCCCGCGGGGCCGCUGCCCGAGGCGCCCGUCCCCUCAGCUCGGCGCUACGAGUGACGAGCGCUCGGCGAGUUCCCCGAAACUGAAAGUAUUUGAAAGACGCUUUCACGCCCCCGAACUGUUAAUAACAAAGCUACGGAGUUCUCUAAUAAACUAAUCCCAACGCCGGACUUUUCGCUACGAGAUUCUCUUUCCGACCAACCGCUGUCUCAGCAGCGAUACCCCCGGAGCCGCCCUCUCCGCGCGCUCCUCGCAGUAAACCUCAACGCCGAACAAAGCCGUUGGGGCUGUCCGGCCCGGCCCGGCCCUGCCGCCCUUGGCUCACGUUCCACUGCCUUCAUACAGCCCCGAAAGCACGGAGCUUAAAGGCUAAAGGUGCUCCUUUCCAAAUGUAGGAGUGUAAAAUGCGGUAUGUACAGUCGCAUCAGGCAGUCAUCGCACGGGGCAGGAUGGGCUGCAAUCAUAAGCGCAGUUUCAGCGUUCCACCCCACUGAUCACGCCUGUCAAACUCAGCUGUUCUGUAUUACAACGUUACAAGGUACGGUAAGGGAGACUUUUCUCCCAUCCUGAUCACUCUAACUCCCUAAGAAAAGGCAACCUGAAAGGCAAACGGCGUAAGAUUUAGAUAAAGAUAGCCCCAACAACUGCCACCACAGCCAGGUGUAGCGAUCCCUCAGCUCCUGGACGUGGGCCCUGAUCCCUGCUAGCAGCCAGGAGCCUUUAACUGAGCUGUCAUUUCCCAGCACGGCGGAACCUCCUUUCACUUUAGGGCCACAUGUGAGUACAAAGCACUUAAGGGACCAGACUUGAAAGAUAACUAAUGAACAGAGGACGUUAUUCCUUUAUUAAUUAUCAAAGAGUGUAUUUUAUAAUAUAAAUAACUACUUACAAUUAAAGCUAAACACAGCGGUGGGAGAUGUCAGUCAGGUGCUAAAGCAAUCCUGAAUUUCUGAACAGAAGUUCAACUAAUUUUGUGCUGUAAAAGCCAGACGGGAGAUGAAUCGAUUACUGAUUUCUUUCAAGCUGAUUUCAUCAGUGCUCCACAAACACCCAGAGCUGAACUCAGGCUGCAGUCACAGAACAAGGUGUGCAACAGACACCUCAGUGUCUAUUCUAUAUAUUCUCAGUGUCAAACGUUCUGAUUUCUAUUACAAACUGUGUUCUUACAACUCUGCUUUGUCCUGGAGAAAGCUGUCAGCCAGCUGUCCCCGCUGCAGUUCAAAAGACUGAUGGCAAGGUCCAUGAAAUUCACAAAGAAUUUUGCUAUUAUUAUUUGUUUUCCAUUCAUCCUGCAGCAAAUAGCGAUGGGUGUCCAUACAGAGCACACCACCACCUCUGCCUUUGAGCAGCAACAGAUUUUACACUGACACGCUGAAUUACUGUUCAUACAUCACAAUUCUUUCCUUUAAAUGUUACUGCUGUAUGUGUGUCAAAUUACAUAAAAGUAGAAUGGCUUAAUUUGAUAAAGUUGCUUUUGAUCAGCUAACUACCUUAACGAGCUAAUAUAUUGCCCGCUUUUCAGGUUCCAGCACAAACACUCGUCAAGUUACUCAGAAGUGGCUCUUGCUUUAAAAGUGCUACACAUGUAAAUACGUACUACCUUUACUUCAUACAUCUCCCACUGCCUCUUUCUUGCUGUUUUUUUUUGCUCUUUCAAGCCUGUUGUUGUGCUUUUUUCCCCUCUUCCAUAGCUUUCUUCCUAUACCUUCCCACUCCAGUUCUAAUUCUGUGGGCUGGCCUCGGGCUGUCCCUUAGUAAGCUUCCUUCCUCUAGUACCAAUUUUUCCCACUAUGCCAUGAAUACAUCAGUGUUCCAGCAGAGGGAGGAAAGUGGCAGCAGAAAGAUGUGUUGAUCACUUCAGUGCACAGGGCUGAUUAGACAGAGAGCAGGAAUAUUCUUUCCCACAAACUCACUAUACUGAAGAUGUGAACAGGUUGUUUUUGUUUUUAAGCACACAAGUUCAAUUCUCUUAAACCAUUUCCAAAGCACUAUGCAUGGUUGUGCUGAUGAUUUUAGAGGGAAACGGGCAAAGCCCUGAAAAUCCAUCACGUUAGAAGGUCAGAACUGAAAACAUGUAUAUAAGCUGUAUACUUUGAACAGAGGUGGCUAUUAGGAAUCUGACACACCCAGGUUGGAAGUACAGUCAUUCACAGCUCCCUGGGCUAUCAGUGGAGAGCCAGCAAUGCUUUUGAGAUCACCCUGGUCCCUCCUGCUCCAAGAAAGAUUUUGAAGAAGCCUUUCUCUUCCCACUAACCACAAAGUCAAGGAUGACCAUGCUCCUAAACUAAGUACCUCUAUGAGGUGCUCAGAAUUAAGAGCAAUAAAUCUGGUCAAGAACAGGCAGAACACACCAGUGUAAGAGCUGCCAAGAAGCCCAUGCUCCUUUAAGAGAGCAAAAUGUUGUCCAGAAACACUGCCAGUUCAAAGGGCUUAACUGAGGAAGCAAAACAGCCCAAGGAGUGAUGUUGGGAAUGGAUUGUGACUGACCAACCAUACACAUAGUGAAGAACUGAGAGAAAAAAAAACAACAUGGAGGAAUAAGUUCAGCUCAAAUAGAGUAAGUGGAAAAGGAAACGUGAGGCAGGAGAACAGCAGAAAGCAGCAGCUCAUGCAGAGAAGACAGCCAAGUAAUGGGGUGAAGAUAAACAAACGAACAAAAAUACAACACAAUCUGUAAAAGGAAAGAAAGAAUGGAGUCAAGAGAAGGAAACAAAACAAAAAAAAUGGGGAUAAUGCAGAUUCAAAACCCACUGAACAGAUACAACAACAUAUUAAACGUGGUUGGUAAUGCUACAACUAAACGUAUGCCUACCAAUAGCAAACAACUGCUGAAAACUGCAGAGGAAGGCUACGUUGUGUCAUGACACUGCAGGCAUUUCCCUGCAUGCACUGACAGGUUUCAUUCUUUUGCCAGGUGGUCCUGGAAAGCUGUUCAAACAGGGAACACCUCACUCAGGUGUUCAGUUAGAAUCUACGAGACAACCUCCAUACAAGACCUGAGAUGUGAUCAUUCUUAUUUAGAAUGGAAAAGGAAGGGUGAAUCUGCAGCUAAACUCUUAUGAGCAGAAGUCAUUGGUGAUUUUCCACAACAAAUGUGAAAGGAUGCAUGAAUUAAAAUGCUGAAGGGGGAGACAGACAGAACCUAUGAGGGUGUCAUGUUGUCAGUACUCAGAAGAAAGAAAAAUAGCACAUUCACAAAAAAAGCCUCUCAAGGAAAAGAAGUGAGGGGCACCAGCGCACUGAAGGAAAUCAAGUAAGUUAACUGUAACCAAAGGGUUUGAAGCAAUCAAGAGGGGCUUAAAGACUAAGAAAAGUAUUAUUAGCAAAGACCUGUUUGUAGAUGAGAUUCAGGCUGAAAUGACAACUGGAGGAGGUGACACACAGAAGCAAAAUCCUGACCCUCUUGUCAGCUCCUGUUGACAGCAGCAGAACUGGGAGUAGAUUUUGUACAUUUUCAAGUAUGUCUGCACUAUGAGAAGUAGAAGAAUAUAAUUGGACAAGUAGAAAGGCAAGAGAUAAAAAGUUCAUAUAAAUCACCGUGUCCAGGUGAUGAGAGAACUAUCCAGAAUAAGAAAACAGACCAUUUCAUUUAAGCUCCACCAUAGGAAAACGUUAACAUAACUAAAAUGCAUUAUGGUAGUCUGCAGUUCACUCUCACCUCCAGUGAAAUCAAGCGACUUCUCCCUUCAUACACAGGACUGUGAUCCCUCAGAAUAAUAACCACGAGCAGCACGCAAUAAAAAGUGAAACAUCAAA